rnacentral:rRNA from 1 species
UACGUAGGGUGCAAGCGUUGUCCGGAAUUAUUGGGCGUAAAGAGCUCGUAGGCGGUCUGUCGCGUCUGCUGUGAAAACUCGGGGCUUAACCCCGGGCCUGCAGUGGGUACGGGCAGACUAGAGUGCGGUAGGGGAGACUGGAAUUCCUGGUGUAGCGGUGGAAUGCGCAGAUAUCAGGAGGAACACCGAUGGCGAAGGCAGGUCACUGGGCCGCAACUGACGCUGAGGAGCGAAAGCAUGGGGAGCGAACAGG